rnacentral:lncRNA from 1 species
CAUUCUUCCCAGUGUGCCAGGGAAGGCUGACUUCAGAAGCUCCUGGUUUUCAAGAGUUGGACCACCAUGGAAGUUACAUAGUUUGCAGUAUGGAUGAGUUCUGCAGCUGGCAUUUUCUGAUGUGAAAGUCUACUGCUUCUUAAAGCAGAAGCACUAGUGAGUUUUGCAAUGCUCAAAUUAGGUACCGACUUCUCCUCUACAAUGCAGUGAAAAAAGGGAGAUCCACAGAAGCAAGCAUAAUGAGAAGAAACCCAUCUGAGAUAGUUCACCGGGAGGAAAGCUCUGGCCUUGUGUGUCCCCUGUGCCAGAAAUUAUAUAUCAGGAUGUAAGAGAGCUCUUCUCCUGACAGUCCUUGGGACAAGCUCUCUGAGAGAACAAGGGCACAAACUCCUGCAACAGACUGUGCAAGAAAACAGUAAUGGAUAAUGUGGAAGAAAGAAACAGGAGUGGCACCAGUACCGCA